rnacentral:rRNA from 1 species
AUGGCCACACAUCACCUCACUGCGCUCCCUCUUCCGGCGUGGGCCAACUAUAAGCUUAGCAAGAUCUCUCGCAACUUCAUAUGGCAAGGCGACAAUUCCGAGAAUGCGACCGGAGGGCACUCCCUGGUAAACUGGAAGACGGUGUGCAGGCCAAAGGCCCUAGGUGGGCUGGGAAUCACAGACCUAGGGAGAUUUGGUCGGGCUCUCCGCUUACGCUGGCCAUGGCUAAUGUGGACCGACCCUGACCGUCAGUGGGUGGGCUCUGCCCUACCCUGCGACGACUCGGAUAUGGCGCUAUUCAAAGCUUCGACCUCCAUCGUGCUGGGUAACGGCCACAAAGCUCUGUUCUGGCAUGAUGACUGG